rnacentral:rRNA from 1 species
UACGUAGGGUGCAAGCGUUAAUCGGAAUUACUGGGCGUAAAGCGUGCGCAGGCGGUCUUGCAAGACAGAUGUGAAAUCCCCGGGCUUAACCUGGGAACUGCAUUUGUGACUGCAAGGCUGGAGUACGGCAGAGGGGGAUGGAAUUCCGCGUGUAGCAGUGAAAUGCGUAGAUAUGCGGAGGAACACCGGUGGCGAAGGCGGCAUUCUGGACCGACAUUGACGCUGAGGAGCGAAAGCCAGGGGAGCAAACGGG